GAGUGUGGGAUUUAAACCUCUUCCAGAGUAUCAAUUGGAGGGCAAGUCUGGUGCCAGCAGCCGCGGUAAUUCCAGCUCCAAUAGCGUAUAUUAAAAUUGUUGCAGUUAAAAAGCUCGUAGUUGAAUUUCUGCUGCAUUGCUUUUGCUCCUUUACGAGUCUUUGCAUUGUGGCUUAUUUCGGACUUUGUUUUACAAUGUCCGGAUGUUUACUUUGAGAAAAUUAGAGUGCUCAAAGCAGGCUUUCGCCUUGAAUAGUUUAGCAUGGAAUAAUAAAGUAGGACUUUGGUUCUAUUUUGUUGGUUUUAGGUACCAAAGUAAUGGUUAAUAGGAACAGUUGGGGGCAUUCGUAUUUAACUGUCAGAGGUGAAAUUCUUAGAUUUGUUAAAGACGAACUACUGCGAAAGCAUUUGCCAAGGAUGUUUUCAUUAAUCAAGAACAAAAGUUAGGGGAUC
rnacentral:rRNA from 1 species